AGAGUUCGAUCCUAGCUCAGGAUAAAUGCUGGCAGCAUGCUUAACACAUGUAAGUCAGACAGGAAUAUAGGUGAGUAACGGGCAACAACCUGCCCUUGGACGGGGAAUAAUCACUGGAAACGGGUACUAAUACCCUAUAGGCUAAGGAACAAAAGAAGGAAUCUGCCUAAGGAGGGGCUCAUGUAUGAUUAGCUAGUUUGUGAGGAAUAGCCUAUGAAGGUGAUAGUCAAUAGGUAGUCCGAGAGGAUAGUCAGCAGCACUAGGACUGAGACACAGCCUAGACUCCUAUGGGAGGCAGCAGUGGGAAAUUUCCUAAAAUGGGCUAAAUCCUAAUGGAGCAAUGUUGCGUGGAAGUAGACGGCCCACGGGUUGUGAACUUCUUUUCCUGGAGAAGAAACAAUGAUAGUAUUUGGAGAAUAAGCAUGAGCUCUCUGUGCCAGCAACCACAGUAAUACAGAGGAUGCAAGUGGUAUUCGGAAUGAUUGAGUGUAAAGCGUCUAUAGUUUGCCUUUUAAGUCCACCGUCAAAUUCCAAGACUCAACCCUAGACAAGCGGUGGAAACUACGAAACUAGAGUACAGUAGGGGCAGAGAGAAUUUCCGGGAGAGCAAUGAAAUGCGUAGAGUUCAGAAAAGAACACCAACAGCAAAAAAAACUUUGUUGGGCCGACAUUGAUACUGAGAGAUGAAAUAUAGGGGAGCAAAUGGGAUUAGAUACCCCAAUAGUCCUAGCCGUAAAUUAUGGAUACUAAGCGAUAUGUGUAUCGAUCAGUGUAGUACUGUAGCUAACGCAUUAUCCCGCCUAGGGAGUACGUCCCCAAGAAUAAAACUCAAAGGAAUUGCAGGAGCCCGUACAAGCAAUGGAACAUAUAGUUUAAUUUGAUGCAAAGCGAAAAACCUUACUAAAGCUUGACAUGCCGCGAACCCUCUUGAAAGAGAGAGGUGCCUUUAGGAACAAGGACACAGGCAUUGCAUGGCUGUUGUCAGCACGUGCCAUAAAGUGUUGGCUAAAGUCACGCAACGAGCGCAACCCUCGUGUUUAGUUGCCAUGUUGAGUUUGGAACCCUGAACAGACUGUCAGUGAUAAGCGGGAGGAAGGUGAGGAUGAUGUCAAGUCAUCCUGCCCCUUAUGCCCUACGCGACACACAUGCUAUAAUGGUCGGGACAAAGGAUCGCGAUCUCACAAGGAUAAGUGAUGUUUAAAAUCAGACUACUCUAAAAUAACACAUAACAAGUAAGUGAAUCUAUCAAUGUAGUAUUAGAAAACCUCCCGGGUUGUCGAAGUUAGAGAACGGAGAAGCUAUAAUAAUGACCAUCUGUGUAAGUUUUAAUCAAAAUAAAUAGCC
rnacentral:rRNA from 1 species